rnacentral:snRNA from 1 species
CGCGGGUGCACCGCCGACCGAC